AGUGAACGCUGGCGGUAGGCCUAACACAUGCAAGUCGAACGGCAGCACAGUAAGAGCUUGCUCUUACGGGUGGCGAGUGGCGGACGGGUGAGGAAUACAUCGGAAUCUACUUUUUCGUGGGGGAUAACGUAGGGAAACUUACGCUAAUACCGCAUACGACCUACGGGUGAAAGCAGGGGAUCUUCGGACCUUGCGCGAUUGAAUGAGCCGAUGUCGGAUUAGCUAGUUGGCGGGGUAAAGGCCCACCAAGGCGACGAUCCGUAGCUGGUCUGAGAGGAUGAAGGACGACAGUGAGGAUGGGAGGGCAUACAGAGGCCGAGGGAAGGCCGCGAUGGGGAAGGGUGGAAAAAGUGGGGAAGAGUUAACCAGGCGUACAAGGGGGAUGAAGAGAGCCUGCGGGUGGGAAAACGUGCUUGUGGUGAAAAAAAAGUAUCGGUAGGGAAGAAGGUUGUUGUGAAGGUACCUAAAGAAGAAGCACGGGCUAACUUCGUG
rnacentral:rRNA from 1 species